rnacentral:rRNA from 1 species
ACGGGAGGCAGCAGUGGGGAAUAUUGCGCAAUGGGCGGAAGCCUGACGCAGCGACGCCGCGUGGGGGAUGACGGCCUUCGGGUUGUAAACCUCUUUCAGCAGGGACGAAGCGCAAGUGACGGUACCUGCAGAAGAAGCACCGGCCAACUACGUGCCAGCAGCCGCGGUAAUACGUAGGGUGCAAGCGUUGUCCGGAAUUAUUGGGCGUAAAGAGCUCGUAGGCGGUUUGUUGCGUCGGCUGUGAAAUCCCGAGGUUCAACCUCGGGUCUGCAGUCGAUACGAGCAAACUAGAGUGUUGCAGGGGAGACUGGAAUUCCUGGUGUAGCGGUGAAAUGCGCAGAUAUCAGGAGGAACACCGGUGGCGAAGGCGGGUCUCUGGGCAACAACUGACGCUGAGGAGCGAAAGCGUGGGGAGCGAACAGGAUUAGAUACCCUGGUAGUCCACGCCGUAAACGUUGGCCGCUAGGUGUGGGGCUCAUUCCACGAGUUCCGUGCCGCAGCUAACGCAUUAAGCGCCCCGCCUGGGGAGUACGGCCGCAAGGCUAAAACUCAAAGGAAUUGACGGGGGCCCGCACAAGCGGCGGAGCAUGUUGCUUAAUUCGGUGCAACGCGAAGAACCUUACCUAGGCUUGACAUGCACGGAAAUCUCCCAGAGAUGGGGGGUCCGUAAGGGCCGUGCACAGGUGGUGCAUGGUUGUCGUCAGCUCGUGUCGUGAGAUGUUGGGUUAAGUCCCGCAACGAGCGCAACCCUCGUUCCAUGUUGCCAGCACGUAAUGGUGGGGACUCAUGGGAGACUGCCGGGGUCAACUCGGAGGAAGGUGGGGAUGACGUCAAAUCAUCAUGCCCCUUAUGUCUAGGGCUGCAAACAUGCUACAAUGGCCGGUACAAAGGGCUGCGAUACCGCGAGGUGGAGCGAAUCCCAAAAAGCCGGUCUCAGUUCGGAUUGGGGUCUGCAACUCGACCCCAUGAAGUUGGAAUCG